UACGUAGGCAGCGAGCGUUGUUCGGAGUUACUGGGCGUAAAGCGUGCGUAGGCGGCGGCCCAAGUCUGGUGUGAAAUCUCCCGGCUUAACCGGGAGGGUGCGCCGGAAACUGGGUUGCUUGAGUGCCGGAGAGGCAGGCGGAAUUCCUGGUGUAGCGGUGAAAUGCGUAGAUAUCGAGAGGAACACCUGCGGCGAAGGCGGGUUGCUGGGCUGACACUGACGCUGAGGCGCGAAAGCUAGGGGAGCGAACGGG
rnacentral:rRNA from 1 species